rnacentral:lncRNA from 1 species
AAAAUACUAAAAGAAUAGUAGAAAAAUAAGCUACUAGUCUAAAAUUUUAAGAAAGAGCUACUAGGGUCUAUAGUAAUUUGGAGCCCCAACCUCAAUUGGCUCUUUUUUAAUUCCUUUUUAGGCCUCAUUUAGCUCUUUUUUUAAAAAAAUUUCAAAGUUGUAAUUUGAAGUUACAAAAAUUUUAGUGCCUGACAGUUGAAACUAGUAUUUUUUUGCAAGCAACUAGUUGUUUUGGCUUGUGUAUUGCAAUAGUGUUGUAGAAAUUUCUAUGAUUGGAUUCUAUGGCAGUGAAGUCGAU